UUAACAGUCCUGGAACCCGGAGUUCUGCUCAGCCACCACACAACACUCAAAGCUGACAGCAGGGUGGAUUUGUACGUGCUGCUUACCUUAUGCUCCUUAAUUGUGCUCUGCAGAGACCACAUCUAAGGACAGAGGUAGUUUUGUUUUCACGCUCAUUUAAUCCCUGGCUUCU
ensembl:misc_RNA